rnacentral:rRNA from 1 species
ACUGGGGUAGUAAUAUAAUUAAUUGAAAUUCAAUAGAUUUGGCGGUUUUUAAAUCUUUUUAGAGGAACCUGUAUUUUAAAUGAUAGUCCACGAUUUUUUUUACCUUUAAUUUCUUGUAUAUCGCUGUCGUUGAGUGUAAUUAAAUUUCUAUUUUCUUUUCCUUUCUUAGGGGGUUAUGUUAGGUCAAGAUGCAGUUAUUUAAUGGUUAAUAUGGGUUACAUUUAUUUUUGUUAUUGGAUAUUUAAUUUUGGUUAUUUUUGAAAUUGGAUUUAAUAGUAAUUUUAUUAGAUUAAUAUUUUGAAUUUUGCUCUUAAUUAUGU